CUCAUAUAAAGAGUCCAAAUGUCUUGUAACCUUUGCAUGUUCACACAGAGAGCAGAGCCAGCCUCCCUCCUGGUGAUUACACAUAUUUUUCUCAGUGUGCUGUUUAACUGCUGAACUUCCGUCUGCUGCUGUUUUAAGCUCUGCACCAGGCCAGCAUCCAACGUAGCUGGAAAUGCAAAAAGCUCACUCAUUUUAGGACUAUCUCAGGUUUGCCUCCACCUUGGAGAGUGAAUAUUUGGAAGAACUAUAAACACUGAUUUCCACUGGUACACUGUGUAAUUAAACUGAAUCACAAGUCAACAAAACAGACGUGAAUCCUGCACGGCGAAACUCGGUUACAGCAGCCUCAACUUCAGACGCCGUCGUCCAGCAGUCUGCAACGCUGUCCAGUCAAACUGACGUAAACGCACAUUCCUGCUAACUUUAAAUGUUUACAUCAUGCAUGUUUGAGCGAGGAGUUGGAAAAUCUAGUCUGUAUUGUUCCUUUGGUUGCUAGUAACCCAGCAAAUAUUGUUCUAAGACUGACUUUAUCUCUGCUUUUCUUAUUUUUAGUACGAAGGAUAAACUAAACUACUCUUGUACCCAAACUUUACUUUGUUUGAAAGUCCAAUAAAGAUAUCCAGGUGAAAGGUAGCUCACCAGGACUAGAGCCUGAGGAAAAAAAGCAAUUUAAUGUCCACGUCUCACUGGUGCCUAAAUAGUACUGGGAGCUGUUUCUGUUCUUUGAAGCAUAUUUCUGUUACAGGGUAAGAAGUGAUCCGUCAUGAAGAAGAACAAGGACAUUUCUAUCAAAACAUUUGGACAACGCUGUGUGAUCUCAGACUGUUCCUGGAAACCAUUCUUAGAGGUUUUCUCAGUUGUUUACAAGAAAAAAUGAAAGAAAGGUUGGACAAACCUGAGCAUUCAUCAUGAAAUAUUAUUCAGCCCAUAACGAGCUGCACAAUAGGCAGUAAUCACAGCAAUUUGAGGCAGGAAAUUAUAGUUUGAGGGCACUGGAGAGAAUUUUUUCCUUUAAACUGUUUUCAUUUUAAAAGUCAAACGUUGAGUCGUGUGUUAUCAGUUUGGGUAAACAGACUCAAAUUUUAAUAUAAGACAAUCUCCUGCCGGGUUUUCCCAGAGUUAGGGCUUCGAUAACUCCCCACAGGACACACGGACAGUGUGAAUGUUCUUUGUUCUUCCUCUGUCGUUGACGCGUUCUCACCUUCAGGCUCUGAAGCAUCCCUGUAGGUUUGAAAGGCUCGGCUAUGUCUGGACUCGACUUGGAAAACCAGUGGAUCAACUCCGUGAAUGAUGUGACGUGAUUUCAUCGUUUUAGGGAGUGCAGCUGCUCGUACACAAAGCAGACAGUGGGUGUGAAGAGCAGAGGAGGGCCAGGCAGGUUAAAACAGAGCGCAGCAUCUCUCAGGAUAUUUGAUGACAGACUGUGAGGCAGAUUACACUCAUCUAUUAUCUCCGUAUGAAUGAUUCUGCAAAUUGUUUCCUGCCUGCUGAGUUUAUUUUGCAUGACUAAUAAGCAAAACAUUUACACUACCACUGCAACAAAUUAAUCUUUUCAUUACUAAUAUAGUUUAUGAGAUCUCUGUAAAUAGUAACUGGAUUCCAAAGUGAAGAUGUGAGACGUUCUCGUCAAUCGUUUAAGAAGCUCAAAGACUAAAUCUGCCAGUUUCGUCCUACUUCUACCUGAAAAAUAUCUGAAACAAGGAAAUAAUGAAAAUUGUUGCUGUUUUUAAUAUUUAACUCCCCAAUCCCCAAAUCUUCAUUAUCUCUAAAAAUCAACAGUUAAAUGUUAAGCGUGAAGCAAUUUUCAUAUAUUAAAUGGUAAUAAAGCGCCAGCAUGAACAGAUUGUACCUCAGCUAAAAAAAGAGUUUUUUUGAUUGUCUCUUUGCUGCCUAAAUCUUCCUCCUCAGUGGCAGCACUCACGCUGAAGCCGUUAGAGUGUCAUCGAGACAGAAGGCAAGAUUUCCAGCUCAGGGGAUAUAUUACAUGUAAGAUUCAUAACCCUGAUGGCAUAAACAGACCCUAUUUAUGGACUUUCAGACAAUCAAACCAGGAAAGCGAGCAAAAGGAAAAGAAACAGGUUUGUGCUCAUUUCAUCUGAGUCGCCUGUUAAAUCAUCAGGACUAGUCUUUAUUGUGUAACAGAGACAGGACCGAUUGUGCCUCAGCCACAAAAAGCUUUACAUUCAGUUGUCAAAGCACGAUUUAGUAAAUGAAAAUGUAAAAUUAAAAUUAAUUCGGUCGUUACAUGUAAGAUUUACAUUUCCAGUUCUUAAAGUUGACCUUUGAAAAUAUUCUCACCUUCCUCUCCUUCCCUCUCUCCUUCAUACAUCUGAAGCCUCGUACUUUGUGUGUUGAUAAACACUUUUGAAUUUAGUGUUUUUAUGAGAAGCCUUACAAUUGCAUAAUUUUGUGUAUUUGUUCUGUUACAGAAGCAGGCAUUCUUACCUUUGUUUAAUAUUUUAAUCAAACUUUAAAUUUAAUUUCAACACGAAAACAAAACACGGCAAAAAAAUCCACAGAACAGAAACAGACCCAAACUCAGCAGCCAAGCUGUCACGGUCGGACGGUCCUUUCCGGACGACCUUGCUUGUGUUUAUUUUUUUGUGUGUGUUUGCUUCUCCCUCUCUCUCCCCGGUCCUCGGGGCUGUUUACGGAAGUGCGCGCCAUGGGAAAGGCGUGACCUGGCGACUGUCGUCAUCGGGAGUCCCUCCUCGCUGUUGCCGGCCCACCUGCAGCUGAUUACCUGAUCAGCUGUUGGUAAUCAUCCCCCUGGCUAGACAGAGGUAUUUAACAUGGACUCGCGGCGACAGUCGACGGGGGAUUAUUACUCCUCACUGGAGAGUCAAGCGGAGAAGCGAGUUGGGGAGCACACACACUAACGGAGUUGCAGCACAGAACGCACUGUGAGCAAGGGACGAGCACGAUUGGAAAAUUGCACUUUUGAGUGAAUUGUUGGACUUGCCUGUCUGUUUCACUGUAAAUAAACGCACUGUUUUGCUGUGAAGAAGAACCGCGCCUGGGUCCCUCUUUUCCGUGACAGAAUAAUCCCACCACCAUGGACCCAGCGGAUUCUGCUUCACGCCAGCUGUCUCUCCAAGCGGAGGUUUUGGAGCGACAUGAAGAAAUGCUGAAGCACGUUUCAAAGGAACAAGCCACGCUUCUGUAAGCCAUAACUGAGCUUAAGGUAGGAGGAGUGUUGCUGACUUUUCCGUGGAGUUCUGGAUCCUGGCGGAGGAGUCGGGCUG